AAAAAAGUAAACCAUGAGUUUCCGUGUCCAACUUUGACUGUCCAUCUUAUAUGAAAAUUUUUUAUAAUUCGUAUUUUUAUUGUUGUUAGAUGAUAAAAUAUGAUUAAUAUUUUAUGCGUGACUUGUCUUUUUAAUAUUUUUCGUAAUUUUUUCAAAUAAGACGAAUGGUGAAACGUUGAACACGAAAAUCAGGUUUGUCUUUUUU
rfam:Oryza rufipogon genomic scaffold, chr02